rnacentral:rRNA from 1 species
UCGAACGAGAAGUACGUAGCAAUACGUAUUGUAAAGUGGCGCACGGGUGAGUAACACGUGGGUAAUCUGCCCUUGAGUUUGGGAUAACCCCGCGAAAGCGGGGCUAAUACCGAAUAAGACCACGGGGACCAAAGUCCCUGAGGUAAAAGGUGGCCUCUAUUUAUAAGCUACCACUUGAGGAUGAGCCCGCGGCCCAUUAGCUAGUUGGCAGGGUAAUGGCCUACCAAGGCAAUGAUGGGUAGCUGGUCUGAGAGGACGAUCAGCCACACUGGAACUGAGACACGGUCCAGACUCCUACGGGAGGCAGCAGUGGGGAAUAUUGCGCAAUGGGCGAAAGCCUGACGCAGCAACGCCGCGUGGGGGAUGAAGGUUCUCGGAUUGUAAACCCCUUUCGACCGGAACGAAUCUCCUCCUGGUAAAUAAUCAGGAGGAUCGACGGUACCGGGAGAAGAAGCCACGGCUAACUCUGUGCCAGCAGCCGCGGUAAGACAGAGGUGGCGAGCGUUGUUCGGAUUUAUUGGGCGUAAAGCGAACGCAGGUGGUUUGGUAAGUCAGGGGUGAAAGACCACAGCUUAACUGUGGCAUUGCCUUUGAUACUGCCUUUCUUGAGUAGAGUAGGGGGAAGCGGAAUUCCGAGUGUAGAGGUGAAAUUCGUAGAUAUUCGGAGGAACACCGGUGGCGAAGGCGGCUUCCUGGACUCUAACUGACACUCAUGUUCGAAAGCGUGGGGAGCAAACAGGAUUAGAUACCCUGGUAGUCCACGCCCUAAACGAUGGGCACUAGGUGUGGGAGGUAUCGAC